AUUUUGUAAUGACUCACUAUUGAAACUCUCUGCCUCUUUUAUUCUCUCUUUAAAAAGAUGGACAAAAACAAAAGGAAAGAGUGGAAGACAGAGCAUUUUAAAGUCGGCCUGCUUUGCAUUCGCACAAACGGAAUAUGUGUCACUGAGGUCAUAAAAUAACCGCAGCCAUAAAUAAGCCUCCUCUCUCUCUCGUGUUUCCCUGCACAGGCUCUGACUUGUCUGCAUGGCCAAACUGCAGACAGUCCGACUGACAAAUAGAGACAAAGGCUCUAUUUUUACUUUAACUUCGCCCUCCCUCCCAUCCGAUGCCUCCUCUCUACCCUUCUCAGAUGCAGCAGGACAGAUAAGUUUAAUCCUGGACUCUCGCUUUCUCUGCAGGAUCCUACAGACAUACGGAGAAUCUCUCUGCUUCUAACUUUCAUUUUGACCUCCCUCUCUUCUCUCUCUACUUGCAGGCAGGACGCUGCGUUUCCUCUCCGCUUUGUGGGAACGGGAAGCAGCAGCAUUGUGUUGGAGCUGACUGUGGUUUAAUCAUUAAUGAGCACUAACAGUCGGGACAGGACAGGCAUGGCCUCCAGCCCGGGACACACACACAACGUUUGGGAGAAGCAGCAGAAGCAACAAACGGCACCAAACGACAGGAGGGAGGAGAAAAAAAGGAAGAUUCUGGACUGGAAAUGGAGACUGGAAAGUUUGACGAGAGCUGAGGAGCGUUUGGAGGCAGCGGUUCAUGUGUGCGUGAGAAAAGAAGCAUAAAAGGGUAACAGAAGGACUUACACACUCUCAGCUAGGCCGCCCAGAGCGGUCACUCUGCUGGGUUUCUGUCUGCCGUUUCCUCGGUGUAGCAUAUUAACAUUAGCCUGCUGUAGUUCAGCCAGAGUUACUAUUGUAAAUAAUGAUGCUGGACAGUUACAGUUAGCUCUGGUGUCCUCCUGUUCUGCGACUUACAGUUAGUUUUCAUGGCUAAGUUUUCAUAGAAAAAGCAGUCCAAGUACUCAUUUAAUUAGUACUUUAUUCAACACGGUGAACGAAAUGGAUAGGAAGCUAAUAGGCUGGACCUUGUAAAAGAUAUAAAAGAUAGCAAUAAUUUACUUAGCGUACUGCUAGCCUGCUUACAACAGCAACAACAUUAGAGCUAGCAUGUUAGCCUAUCACAAUAACCAGACUAGUAGCCUACUAGGAUAAUUCUACAAGUAUUAUUAUUAUUAUUAUUAUUAUUAUUACUAUUAUUAUUAAUAAUAGUAAUAAUAAUAAUAAUAAUAAUAAUAAUAAUAAUAAUAAUAAUAAUAGGCUGAUAAAUAGAGACUGUCUUUGCAGGAUACUGAACCAUUUCCCCACAGUAAAGACUAAUUUUCCGGGAUGUUGCUCCCACGGUUUCCAAUUGUCAGGAGGUUUUUCUGAACGGAUAUGCGCUCUAAGCCCGCUGUAUUCCCUCCAUAUUCCGUCUGUAUUCCCGGGCAGUAAAUCAGAGCCGUGCAGCCGUGAUGGAGCUUCAGAGUAAACAGCAGAGAGCCGCUGAAGGAACUCCAGGAAUCUGAGAAACUUCAGAGAUUAUCGACAAUUAAAGCUGAAGGAGUCGGA